AUGCAUCAUCAUAUAGAUAGCUUAUUUGCAUUGUUAAAAAAACUUUGUAGUCUCAACGAUGAUGCAUACAUGUCAACUAUGGGUGUUGGGUCCAACAAUUCGCAUUGGUCUCAAACCAAUGACAUCCAUUUUGAAGACCAUGAGUUUGAGGUGGACGAGGAGGGUGAGAGCAUUGUCGACGCGCCGAAAGGAAGAGCGGGCAAUUACACCACCAACGAUGACAAGUUACUAUGCAAUACUUGGUUGCAAGUGUCGAGGGAUCCAUCCGUUGGAGGUGAUCAAAGUAGAGAUGCUUAUUGGGGGCGAAUGAAAGAACACUCUGAUGCUCACAACGUGAGUGGAAUUGACCGCUCCGAGAGAUCACUUCGGUCCCGACGGUCGACAAUCAACUCGGAUUGUCAAAAGUGGGCGGCCGCACAAAAGGCAGUUGACAAGAUUAACCCAAGUGGCACAAAUGAGGAUGAUAGAGUAAGUGUCAUCUCAUACAUGUUCAUCAUACUUGUUUUUGGUGUCCGUAGUGCUAAUUUGUUUUCUUUUUCUUGUAGUACAACAUUGCAAAAAACUUGUUCAAAGAAGAGACGAGGACAACCAAGAAGGGGACGAUCAAGAAAGGAAGGAUCUUUACCUUACCUCAUUGCUACGAAGUGUUAA
rnacentral:rRNA from 1 species